GCCGGCAGGGCAGCCAGCGGCUCGGCUCGGCUCCGCACCGCACCGCCUGGCAGGCCGCCUCAGCGUAGCGAGGCCGCGGAGCGCCGGGCCGGCCGGGCCCCGCUGAGGGUGAAGCACAGCCGGGAGCGGUGAGGAGCCGUGAGCUCCGGGCCGGUCAUCACAGCCUCAGGGUCUGCGCUGCAACGAGGCAGGGGAGCGGCGAGUGGGUCUGAAACAGGGUUUGAAAAGGCGGCAGGAAGAAAGGCCGAAACGAACGCACGAUUCUCUGCCAAACGUGAGGCGAGGAGAGAUUUAAGAAGUCCGUUCUGUCAAAGUGCUCUGUCCGCCCGGCACAGCUCACAGAAGGUCGUGCUUGCGGGCCUCCCGCCCCGCUCCUGCAGACGGGGAUCGCACAGGGCAGAGAUUUUCCGUGUACCUCUCGGUGGUGUUUCUCACGUAAGCAAACACGUCGAUUGAGCUUACAGGCCAUAUCGGAGUCUCGGGACAGAACCUUCCAAGCGCUACUGGAGAAUGGCAGGGAAAAAAGUCCUGAUAGUCUACGCACAUCAAGAGCCCAACUCUUUUAAUGGAUCUUUGAAGACGGUUGCUGUGGAAGAACUGAGCAAACAGGGCUGCAGUGUCACAGUGUCUGACUUGUAUGCAAUGCAGUUUGAGCCACGGGCAACAAGAAAUGACAUUGUUGGUUGCUUGCACAACUCAGAGGAGUUCCAUUAUGCAGUGGAGAUGAUGGAAGCUUACAAGAGAGGAUGUUUGUCCAAUGAUUUGACUGAAGAGCAAAAGAAGGUGCAGGAAGCAGACUUACUGAUUUUUCAGUUUCCCUUGUACUGGUUCAGCAUGCCAGCAAUCAUGAAGGGCUGGAUGGACAGAGUCUUGGUCCAAGGAUUUGCUCAUGAUUAUCCAAACUGUUACGAUUCCGGUUUGCUCAAGAUGGAAGCAGAGGAGUGGUCUGACCAAGUGACAUCUGACAUGGAAAUGUGUUUGAAACAAAGGUCUGGAACUGAAUUCAUCCAUGCAGAAAACAUUCCAUUCAUUGACAUUCAUCAACGCUUGCUGGACAUUAAUGGAGACCAAACAGGGGCUGUGAGCACAGUGAGGUGCUUCCCUGGAAAUAAAUAGAAUGCAUUACUUUUGGAGCAACCUUAAUACAUUAGUUCAGGUCCUUGAUGCUGAGGUACUUACCAAUCCAAAGGUAUCUUGAGCAGCACUCAAUAGUUGCUUGAAAUAGCUGCCCCACUGAGAUGAAUAGGAGUAAACUGCAAUCAUCAUUGCUGCAAGCUGAUUUACAAGCAAGAAAGCUGAGGUACUGCACUGAGUCAUACCAGAAAAAAAUGUAAUUUUAAUUACUAAGACAGAGAGAACACAUGCUGAGUACAAGCCUGUGGCCAAUACCACAGUUAUUGAAUCAGGAGAAACAUGGGGCUUUUAGAACACCUGAGGAAUAAUUGGAAAACCAGUUAUAGCUUGGAAAGUGACAAGCAAGCCCAAGUCUGAAUGAGGACUGUAGCAUUCAAUUUUUGCAUCCAUGAGAGAGGGGAAUAAAGAUAUCCUCCGUAAUAGAGUGCUUUCCAGACACAAUUUUCCAAACAUUUAAUCAGAGAAAGCAAGGGUCAGCCCUGUUUCAUAAAAGGGUGUCAGUAUAUGUAAUUCUUUCUUUAUGAUGUGUCUCCACCUAAAACCCUGAUGCAGAGUCCAUUGUCUAGCUGCACGUGUUCAACCUGUGACUCAGAGCUGCUGCUACACCUGAGGUCUAGGAAACAGGACAUCCCUGGAAAUGGAUGAUAUCCAGGUUUCCCUGAAUCUCUCUUAAACUGUUCAGCUACUCUUCUUUAAAUGUGUCUAACUUAAGCGCUGUGUUGUUUUGUUUUUUGAUUCUAGAACAAGCUAGCUAUGUUUUCUUUCACCACUGGGGGAAGUGAAGAGAUGUAUA